rnacentral:snoRNA from 1 species
CCAAUGUGGACAACCACUGGGCUCACUCAGUGGCUUUGACCAUGUGGCGUGAAGGAGCAUAGCACUUUGGUGCACUGAUGUAUAAUCCUAUUCCACAACAUUGGAGAUUGAGCUUGUUCCCAGUCUUUGGACUGAUGAGAACAUGGUCCUGUAUAUUCCUUAUCUUCUCAGUAUAUCAUUGCUGAGGAGAAAAACCAUACAGGACACAAUU